CUUUACUGUAGCCUGGUAUUGGGUUCGGGCUUUGACUGCGCAGGAUAGGUGGGAGACUGAGAAGUGUGCCUUGUGGGGCACAUAGAGUCAACGGUGAGAUACCACUCUUUCAGAGCUAGGGUUCUAACGGUCACCCGUCAUCCGGGGACCGGACAGUAUCAGGUGGGCAGUUUGACUGGGGCGGUCGCCUCCUAAAAGGUAACGGAGGCGCGCAAAGGUGUUCUCAGGCUGGUUGGAAAUCAGCCGUAGAGUGUAAAGGCAGAAGAACGCUUGACUGUGAGAGUGACAACUCAAGCAGGGUGGAAACACGGCCUUAGUGAUCCGACGGUAUGCGCGUGGAAGUGCCGUCGCUCAACGGAUAAAAGUUA
rnacentral:rRNA from 1 species